UGAACGCUGGCGGCGUGCCUACUACAUGCACGUCGAGCGAACGGACGAGAAGCUUGCUUCUCUGAUGUUAGCGGCGGACGGGUGAGUAACACGUGGAUAACCUACCUAUAAGACUGGGAUAACUUCGGGAAACCGGAGCUAAUACCGGAUAAUAUUUUGAACCGCAUGGUUCAAAAGUGAAAGACGGUCUUGCUGUCACUUAUAGAUGGAUCCGCGCUGCAUUAGCUAGUUGGUAAGGUAACGGCUUACCAAGGCAACGAUGCAUAGCCGACCUGAGAGGGUGAUCGGCCACACUGGAACUGAGACACGGUCCAGACUCCUACGGGAGGCAGCAGUAGGGAAUCUUCCGCAAUGGGCGAAAGCCUGACGGAGCAACGCCGCGUGAGUGAUGAAGGUCUUCGGAUCGUAAAACUCUGUUAUUAGGGAAGAACAUAUGUGUAAGUAACUGUGCACAUCUUGACGGUACCUAAUCAGAAAGCCACGGCUAACUACGU
rnacentral:rRNA from 1 species